rnacentral:sRNA from 1 species
UUUUUGCGCUAAGGAUUGGAACGGCAUCCUUUUUUAUUUGAAAUGGCCCAGUGAAUCUGGGAUAAAAAAGAUAUAGAGAAAAGCCUGUAAAGCG